AGCAUUGGCUGUGAUGACUACUUAGGCUCCGACAAAGUCGUGGACAAAUGUGGGGUGUGUGGAGGAGACAACACGGGCUGUCAGGUUGUGUCGGGAGUGUUUAAGCAUGCCCUCACCAGCCUGGGCUACCACCGCGUCGUGGAGAUUCCCGAGGGAGCCACGAAAAUCAACAUCACGGAGAUGUACAAGAGCAACAACUAUUUGGCCUUGCGAAGUCGUUCUGGACGCUCCAUCAUCAAUGGGAACUGGGCAAUUGAUCGACCAGGAAAAUACGAGGGCGGAGGGACCAUGUUCACCUACAAGCGUCCAAAUGAGAUUUCAAGCACUGCCGGAGAGUCCUUUUUGGCGGAAGGUCCCACCAACGAGAUCUUGGAUGUCUACGUGAGUUUGGAUGUUUCUGGACUGUUCUUUGGAUUUUGAAUCUUGUUACUUCUAAGGAACAUACUCUGAACAAAUACGCAACAAAUCAUUGCCCAUACUCAAGAAAAACCCUUUGAGCAGAGCCUGUUGGAGGCACUCCUUGAAUGCUUGGCGUUCAUCUUUGCCUUUACUUCUGAAUGGGCCCAGCUCACAGCAACCGCCAACUCCACCAGAUGCUUAUUACCUUCGGAGUUUAUUGACCCAGUAAAACCAAUUUUACUUGUUGAACCAAAUCAGAGGCAAAACAUGCCCUUUAUUUCAUGAGCAUUGGAUCUCCUCCAGGCACUUUCCUUAUAAUGCUAAUUUGGCAUGUUUUCUUUUUAUGGCAAAAGAAAGCAAGAGCCUAAAGGAAGGCAGGACUGCUCCCAGCUCCCAGCCCUGUUCAAACUCUGAGAGCAAAUGAAGAAAGGAGAGCUCCAGAGCCCUCCAGAUGAAACAAUAAAGCUGAGAGUCACAGUAGAGAGAUUUACUAGAAGCUCCCUGCUUCAUAGAAGACAAAACCUUAAUUUCUUUUACGUGAAACUAAGAUAUUAAAUUGCUCAAGAGUUUUAAAUGGUCCUUACGUUCAAAGGAAACCACUAGAAUUCAAUCUUCUUAAAAGACCAGGAAAUAAAGGGUGAUAAGGCAUAAAAGCUUGAAAUAACAUUUUGAUAAAAAGAUUGAGAUCACCCAUGAAUAUACACACAUUAUUUCUGUCCCCAAAGCUGAGCUGAUUAACAUAUUUGCUGUGUCAGAGUUUUAGAAAUAUUAUUAAUUGCAUUGUCAUUACUUCUCCACCUACACACAGUUCUAUGUCCUUUCCUCUUGGGCCUAGUGGACUCGAAAUUACAAAGGAAGCCUUGUUGUAGUUUAUUUUGGAUUUUUUUUAGACUGUCCAGUUGGUUGGUUGAAUCUGAAUAUAUUUUAAAUGGCAUCAGAGGUAAAAACUCAGGUUGUUAAAGGUCUACUGCGGUUGGUCUAGGAAUGGAAGCCAACAGCAAUUUCAUAAACGGGACAAGGUUUUGCACUGGCAGAAUGCUCAGGCAGAAGAGGCACCAUAGAGGGAGGGAGGAUUUCCAGCCACAGACCGAGAGGAAGAUUGUGUGAAAAGGGAGCGAGGGGAUGAGGGAUACACAGCAGGAACCUGAGGUCACACAACCGUGUCCCUCGGGGAUUCAGUGCCCACCACGUUUCUGCAACGCCGAUGGUUUGAUAUUGGUUCCUGGGUAGGAGAAUCCCAGGGGUUCUCAGGUCUGCCUUCCUUUGGGUAAUUUAUAAAAUGAAGACCCAUUUCAUCAGUAGGGAGUGGCAAGAGAUCAUGGCAUAAACAGGAAGAAUAGACAUAGGACCCACCAUGCAGGAGUGACUCAGAGAUGCUUCUAGCUGGAAAGGACCUUUGAAAGUCACAUGAUUCUAACCUCUUCCUUCCCCAAGGAAGAAAUCAAAAACUGCAGGGUGAAGGGGCUUGCUCUAGGUUACACAGCUGGUCAAUAGGAGAGCUGCUUUAUAAAGCAGCAGAGACAGAAACAUCAAACCCGACCGUGUCUCCUUGCACGGCUCAUAUUUACACUGUGGAUUCUCAUUCUGCUGCUGGGUUUAGCCCACCACCCUGCUCCCCAUCAGGAAAGCCAUGGGCAGCAAAGACUGUGUGCUCUAAAUCCAAUAGGGAGGGACGUAUUCUGUUGGGCCAUGCUCAUUUAAUAUGUUUUCAGCCCAGACAAUGUUCAGCUGCUGACUUCCACAGUCCUACGUAGAUUCCUGCUUGCCAUCCUAUUUUUGUCAUCAUUCCUAAGAGAAUAUGACCCAGCAAGAGUUGGGUCCCUUCUACUUGUUUUCCUGGCCCCAUGUCUUUGUGUUUCUGGGGCUUUCCCUGAAUAAGAGGGAGAGACCUGGGGGCCAGCCUCACCAGCCAGGUCAAGAACUUUGAGGGAACCUAAAGCGUCCCGGGGUGGCUCUGUCCAGGAGGUCUGCUGCUUGUUCGCAUGACUUUAUCACGCCACCUGGUGUUAAAACAGUUCUCCUGCCGUGUACACGUAUUUAUCUGUGUUGGAUGUUUCGAGAGCACUGAGCAAAAUCUAAGGACAGAAAGGUUCUGCUACCGUUGCUCCAUCUUCUCCUUUGGAGUUUAGAAAAUCUUGACUCUUAGCUUAGUUUUCUUCUGAUUUGCUCGGCCUAAGUUCUUCAUUCUUCAAAAGUAAAUGACAAAAAGCCAUCCAGAAAUAACUUUGUUUAAUCUGCCACAGGUUCACUGAUAUUACUGGAUGCGUACUAGAGUGAACCAACCCAGUCAUUUCUCAGUAGUUCUGCAAAUGCCAUUGAAACCCAGAAGGGGUGUGCAUACGUGCCCAGUGCAGUAACACUGAUUUUUGUGUCAGCAGAUGAUACACCAGCAGCCAAACCCAGGCGUGCACUACGAGUACGUGAUCAUGGGGACCAACGCCAUCAGCCCCCAGGUGCCACCCCACAGGAGACCAGGUAGAAUCCCUUGUCUUGUGGCCGGGGACUCUGAUCAUUUCCUUGUAAAGCCUUCUCUCUCUCAAUUCUUGUGCAUCCACCCUCUGUCUCUCGGUCAACACAGAGAAAAUUGAGGGACGCGUAUUUCAAAGCCAAGGGGCCUUGACAUUGGAGCAGGCUUCACCAUUUGUCUGAGCCUUCACUGAUGAGACUGUUUCAUUCACUCGAUUCCAAAAUGGCAUGAGCAUCCUGGGUCUGCCCUGCCAGUUCAACAUUUGAAAUGCUUUGUACUAGUUUCCAGGCCAGACAAGGGGGCUCAUGCCUGUAAUCCUAGCACUUUGGGAGGCCCACGCAGGUGGAUCGCUUGGGCCCAGAGGUUCAAGACCAGCCUGUGCAACAUAAUGAAACCCCUGUCUCUACAAAAAAAAUUACAGAAAUUAGCCAGGCAUGGUGGUGUGUGCCUGCAAUCCCAGCUACUCAGGAGGCUGAGGUGGGAGAAUCAUCUGAGCCCAAGGAGGUUGGGGCUGCAGUGAGCCGUGAUCAGACCACUGAACUCCAGCCUGGACAACAGAGUGAGACCCUAUCUCAAAAUUAAGAAAAAACAACACAAAUUUACUCUCUUAGAGUUCUGGAGGUUAGAAGUCUGAAGUGGGUUUCAUUGGGACAAAAUGAAGGUGUCAUCAGGGCCACUCUCUCUCCAGAGGCUCUAGGAGAGAACCCACUUCCUUGCCUUUUCCAACUUCUAGGAGCCACCUGCCUUCCUUGGUUCCUGGCCCCUUCCUCCACCUUCAAAGCCAGCAGGGUGGCACUUUCAAAUCUCUCUCUGACCCUGGCCUCAUCACAUCUCCUCUCUGACUCUCAUCUUCCUCUCUCUUUCCUUUAUAAGGACCCUUCAGAUUACACUGGGCCCACCCAAGUAAUCCAGGAUAAUCUCUCCUUCUCAAAAUCUGUAAUUUAGUCUCACCUGCAAAGUCCAUUUUUGCUAUGUAAGGUAGCAUGUUCACAGAUUCCAGGGAUUAGGAUGUGGACAUCUUUAGGGGGCCAUUAUCUGUCUACUAUAUGCCUUUUCUCUUGGUUCCCCUUUUGUUUUUUGUUAAUAAUACUUUGACCUAUAAGACAAGAAUAAUGAGUUCACACCUAACAAUCCAUGUUGAGUCUUCCUGGUGGGCUCUGCUUGUGGACAGAGCAGGCAGCUUUCUCUCGGCUGACACUGGGCAUGGGACUGCUCUCUGAGUCUGCAGACAUUUCUCUACCGGAGGAUGAUGGAGCCCGCCACCCAAAUGCAGACAGUCUUUUCCUUCCUUAAAAUAGGAAGGUCUGCAGAAGUAUUCAUGGUAAUUAUAGCUCACACACACUGAGUCCUUGCUGUGUGCAAGGGCUUGGAAACUGCUGUGCUGAGCUCUUUGCGUAGAUUAGUUCUUUGAAUUCUCAUGACAGACGGAGGUACUUGGAGGGAAGUACUAUUACGAGCCUUAUUUUCCGAGUAAGGAAACGGAAGCUUAGCAAGAAUAAGUUAAUAAUUGUCCUGAUCUCACACCUGGGCAGUGACCUGAGGAGGGCCUGUGACCAUACUUUGUGCUUGUUAUAUCGCUGAGAGGUUACUUGGUCCAAUCCCUACCCUAGGAGGAAAUAAAGGCACAAGUGCCAAACCCGCCCCAUCCAUUCUUCUCUGAACUUUGGACGGGAUAACCAGGUUAUCUGAUUGCUACACACUGGGGAGGACAACAGCUGGGUGCGUCCCCAGAACAUGGGGUGGGUGUGUUGUCCGAACUCCAAGUCAGCAAACUCAGCGCAACAGAGAAUUUUUAUGUCAUGUCCAGAAGCAAUCCACAGUUUGAGAAACCAAGUUUGGGUAAGAUUUCUGGGGUCCGUUGCUGGUUUACAGGGAUAAUCAGACAGACUAUUUGAAAUCUAUCAGGAUGAUGAUGAUUUCUGUCAGGCCUGAUGGGUCUCAGCUCAUGAAUAGCAUGGGGGUUGUGGGAUCAGCUCCCUGGGACAGGGCAGGCCUGGAGGGGUCACCUGUAAAAAGUUGGUAAGCAGGGGCAUUGUGACCAGGCUUCCUCUUCCAUGUCAAUGGAGUCUGGAGGCAGAGUUGGAAUCCAGCUCUGCACCUUUUUGCUGUGCACCCUCAGGCGGGUCAGCAACCUCUCUGAACACACACCCAGCCUACAAAAUAGAAGAAAAACGCUAUAAGGUGGUUUUUGGCAGGGGAGAGGACAUGGGAAGAGAUUGAAUAAAUUAGUUGUCCAUCCUAGCGUAGAGCCCAGAACAAGGCACUGAAAAGACUUUUUAAAUUUUUUUGUCCAACAACAUCUUGGACAGUUCUCAUUUAUAUCAACAUGCCUGGUCCUGAUUUUGUUGGUCAUCUGUGCAUGUCAUAUUUUAAACCAUGAAGCAUAAUAACCAACUAAGUAAGAAAGCCCUGGCAAAAAAUGCUGAGAGGCCUGGUGCAGUGGAUCACGCUUGUGAUCCCAGCACUUUUGGAAGCCGAGGUGGGCAGAUUGCUUGAGCCCAGGAGUUCGAGACCAGCCUGGACAACAUGGCAAAACCCCAUCUCUGCUAAAAGUACAAAAAGCAGCUGGAUGUGGUGGCACUCACCUGUAAUCCCAGGUACUCAAGAGACUAAGACACGAGAAUCACUUGAACCCAGGAGACACAGGGUGCAGUGAGCCUCCUGCACUCCAGCCUGGGUGACACAGUGAGACUCUGUCUCCCAAAAAAAAAAAAAA
rnacentral:sRNA from 1 species